rnacentral:sRNA from 1 species
UUCUUCCGCUCCGGGUAGGCUCCGUUUCCCUUUCCGGGCGGGCAGGCGGCGGACCCCAGUGUCUUUAUCCCUCUUUUGCACAGAGUCAGCUUCUGCAGCUCUCCUGGGCUAGCAUGGCAGCGUGGAAGAGUUGGACGGCCCUGCGGCUCUGCGCCACAGUUGUUGUACUUGAUAUGGUCGUCUGUAAAGGAUUUGUAGAAGAUUUAGAUGAAUCGUUUAAAGAAAAUCGAAAUGAUGACAUUUGGCUUGUAGAUUUUUAUGCACCAUGGUGUGGCCAUUGUAAAAAGCUGGAACCGAUUUGGAAUGAAGUUGGUCUUGAGAUGAAAAGCAUUGGUUCUCCAGUUAAGGUUGGAAAGAUGGAUGCUACUUCCUAUUCUAACAGAGUUUUGCUCUUAUUGCCCAAGCUGGAGUGCAAAGGUGCAAUCUUGGCUCACUGCAACUUCCACCUCCCGGGUUCAAGUGAUUCUCCUGCCUCAGCCUCUCGAGUAGCUGGGAUUACAGGCAUGU